CCAUGAAGCUGGAUUCGCUAGUAAUCGCGCAUCAGCCGCGGCGCGGUGAAUACGUUCCCGGGCCUUGUACACACCGCCCGUCAAGCCAUGGAAGCCGGGGGGUGCCUGAAGUGCGCUGCCGCAAGGAGCGCCCUAGGGUAAAACCGGUGACUGGGCUAAGUCGUAACAAGGUACC
rnacentral:rRNA from 1 species